rnacentral:rRNA from 1 species
GACGAACGCUGGCGGCGUGCUUAACACAUGCAAGUCGAACGGAAAGGCCCUGCUUUUGUGGGGUGCUCGAGUGGCGAACGGGUGAGUAACACGUGAGUAACCUGCCCUUGACUUUGGGAUAACUUCAGGAAACUGGGGCUAAUACCGGAUAGGAGCUCCUGCUGCAUGGUGGGGGUUGGAAAGUUUCGGCGGUUGGGGAUGGACUCGCGGCUUAUCAGCUUGUUGGUGGGGUAGUGGCUUACCAAGGCUUUGACGGGUAGCCGGCCUGAGAGGGUGACCGGCCACGUGGGGUGUGAGGCGCCGAGGCGCCUGCGGCGGGGGGAAGGAGGGGGAAAUAGGCGCGAGGGGGGGGAACGCGGAGGCGGAAAGGGCGGGUGGGGGGUGUCGGCGUGCGGUUGGUAGCCCGCAUGCGCCGGGGACGGGGGGGGGGAGGGGGUAAGGGGGAGAUAAGACCCUGCAAACGCUGGGACAGCGGCCGUGGGAAUAGUAGGAAACGAACACGUCUGAGU